rnacentral:lncRNA from 1 species
GCUCUGUGGGGAGCCGCUCCGAGAGGGAGCCGGAGCCGCCGCCGCCGCCGCCGCCGCUCGGGUGACAUCGCUGGAAGUUUUCCUGUUGAAAAGAACUGAAACUUGAGGAGCCUAAGUUCUUGUAGUGUUCAUUGUUGAUGAAUAUGUUGCAACGUCCAAAAAUGCAACGAGUGACUCAGAGAAUGAGAAGAGGAAAAAUAUAGCUUUUUAAUGAGGAUUCCUCAGCCAACUACAGAGUGUCCCCGUCAAGAAACCACUGUUCGACCAUGCAAAAGUCACCCAGUCCUUGCUUUUAUGUCUUUUCUGCGUGUGUUUGAAACAUAGUUGCACUUACUAUAUAUUUCCAUUUAUUCAUUUGCCCGAUAUUUUAUUUUUCUGUUUUAUAUUUACAGGGAUUACAACAUUCUGACAUCAAAACCAAACCAAAACCCACAGAACAACAUGUUUACAAAUAGUUCUGGAUUUUAUUUUUUGUGUACAUGUGUAAGAAAAGGAAAAGAGCAAAGGCUAAGUUUACCACUACUGGCGUAAUAACGUCUCUAAUAGUUUCAGACUGAGCUUCUAUUCUUAAAAAUUAUCCUUGCAAGGACUCUGCAGCAAAUAUAACCAUCAAGUUCAAGCAGCACAGCUCUGAAGGAGUGUAAUAGUAGGGGAUUACCUUGUGGGAUGGUGUCCAGUGCUGAUCUACUUCAAGAAUCGACAUUGACUUUCUUUCUGGAAAGAUUGUUUCUCAUUCUUGGAAAAUAUAACUUUUUCUUUCAUAUGUAUGUUUUUUAAUUUUAGCAGUAUUUGUCAGUUUCAGUUCACACCUGCUAUCCCCUCACACUUGUGUCUUUCUUUCACAAUAGCAGGAAACCUGUAUUUGCUUAAAAAAACCCAUUUUGAAUGCAAAUCCAUAGAAAUAGAUAGGUGACCUGAUACUUGUCUUUCAAAUCAGUUGCUCACCCAGGUGAUCAUUUCCUUUGGAAAGCUAAGGGUCUUGCAUA